AUGGCAGUGAGAGGGGAGAAGACAAAGGUGCAGCAGUUGAUGGCAGUGAGAGGGAAGAAGACGAUGAUGAAGAAGACGAGGAUGGUUAUGGUGAUGAUAAAAGGGGAUCCAAUGGAGGCAACGACAGCAGCGAUGAUGAUGAUGACAACACCCCUGGUUUUGGUGGAUUUGCCGAAGUCAAAGAAAAAUGACGAAGCAGAGUGCCAGGGCAACAUUGAUAUGUUCAAGCUCUACAAUUUGAAGCCAGCUUUGCCAACCACCUUUCCCGUGCCAGAUUUUAGCGACAAAGAUAUGUGUGAGAAGAUCAACUUUGCCAUUGACAAGAGCCUAUUCUUAUCAAGUGAUGCUGAAAAGAAUCAAAUUGACAUGGAGGAAGCAGGAAAGGACCUAAGCUCCAGCAAGAGCAAGGCAGCAUCCAUGGCAAAACCUCACGUGGUUUAG
rnacentral:rRNA from 1 species